UAAUAGCUCACUGGUCGAGUCGGCCUGCGCGGAAGAUGUAACGGGGCUAAACCAUGCACCGAAGCUGCGGCAGCGACACUGUGUGUUGUUGGGUAGGGGAGCGUUCUGUAAGCCUGUGAAGGUGUACUGUGAGGUAUGCUGGAGGUAUCAGAAGUGCGAAUGCUGACAUAAGUAACGAUAAAGCGGGUGAAAAGCCCGCUCGCCGGAAGACC
rnacentral:rRNA from 1 species